rnacentral:rRNA from 1 species
UACGGGGGGAGCAAACGUUGUUCGGAAUCACUGGGCGUAAAGCGUGCGCAGGCGGUUUUGUAAGUCUGACGUGAAAGCCCCGGGCUUAACCUGGGAAUUGCGUUGGAGACUGCAAGGCUUGAAUCUGGCAGAGGGGGGUAGAAUUCCACGUGUAGCAGUGAAAUGCGUAGAGAUGUGGAGGAACACCGAUGGCGAAGGCAGCCCCCUGGGUCAAGAUUGACGCUCAUGCACGAAAGCGUGGGGAGCAAACAGG